rnacentral:miRNA from 1 species
UUUUCGGCCAUCGGUAUUUGU